ACGGAAGGCAGCAGUGGGGAAUAUUGCACAAUGGGCGAAAGCCUGAUGCAGCGACGCCGCGUGAACGAAGAAGUAUUUCGGUAUGUAAAGUUCUAUCAGCAGGGAAGAUAAUGACGGUACCUGACUAAGAAGCACCGGCUAAAUACGUGCCAGCAGCCGCGGUAAUACGUAUGGUGCAAGCGUUAUCCGGAUUUACUGGGUGUAAAGGGAGCGUAGGCGGUAUGCUAAGUCUGAUGUGAAAGCCCGAGGCUCAACCUCGGUACUGCAUUGGAAACUGGUAAACUAGAGUGUCGGGGGGGUAAGUGGAAUUCCUAGUGUAGCGGUGAAAUGCGUAGAUAUUAGGAGGAACACCAGUGGCGAAGGCGGCUUACUGGACGAUAACUGACGCUGAGGCUCGAAAGCGUGGGGAGCAAACAGGAUUAGAUACCCUGGUA
rnacentral:rRNA from 1 species